rnacentral:lncRNA from 1 species
CCCGGGACCCGGCUCUCAAGAGCAGGUGUUACGGGCCUGGGGCCCGAGGCGCCCAGGUGAGGCACGGGUGGGACUCCGGGUCCUUAGUUUUCCGGGCUGAGGGGUGUACCCCCUCGGGCUACAGAGAGUCCCAGAGGGCGGGCAGGUAUAGGAGUCACCCCGAGGCCCCAGGGAACGGGCUACGGUCCGCAGAGCCUCCAGAGCAGAAUCCACGAGUUUUCUGUGACCGGCCACCAGGCUGUAGACGUGGGGUGGGCAGUUCGGCUCUCGGGCAGAGGAGGGUACGGGAGCCCAGGCGCUCCGACCAACAGGGUUCCGGACCCACUCAGGCUCAUGGGGCACAGGACCCGUACACUGCAGUGAACGGGGUUCAGAACCCAGACACUCAGAAUGAUGGGGUUCAGCUUCCACACGCUCUGUAAUGGGGUUCAAGACCCCAGGCAUGACCCCAUCAUUCUGAGCUCGCGGGAGGCCUAGGACAGGUGUCCCAGACACCUGGGCGGGCCCAGCACACAGAUGAAUGGCGCACACGGCCACAGACGAGGGUGAUAUGCGCAGGUAGGGGUGGACCGAGCCCAGGGCGUCCGAGCCACAGGAACGAGGCCACCGGGGGGGCCUGGCCCAGCACUCAGGCCCACGGGAGACAUGUCAGUGCAGGACUCAGGUGCCCACGGGGCCAACCGGUGAGCAGGAGAAGGGGGCCCACCGGACCUUGGCCGCCACGGUCCCAGGAGGGGCCCCCAGGGCCCGGGUCACGGAGAAUCCCGGUUUUCGGACCUGGGAGCUGGAUUACAAGCUGCGCUCGCAGUCAGCCGCGGAAGUGGGUGUCCCCUGAGCGUCCAGGUGAACGGGGAAUAUCCACCCAGACCGUCCACAGAGUGGGAGUCACGCCCCCAGAAAUCCAGGGGGCCCACAGACUCCCAGAGGAAGGGGGCAGAGGCGGCGUGGGUCACAGGGCUGGGGCAAGCUCCCGGCCACCCCGAGCCAGCGUUCGCCCUGAGUUCCAACCUCAAACAUUCCCCAGGCAACCUCAAAGGAAGCACCCCCGUCCAGGAGCCCCGCCAGGGUCUCCGUGCGGCUGUCGGCUGCCAAGCCGCCGUCUCGGGGGCCGCAGGGCUGGCCGGGGGCUGCCAGCUC